GACGAACGCUGGCGGCGUGCUUAACACAUGCAAGUCGAACGGAAAGGCCCCUUUUGGGUUGCUCGAGUGGCGAACGGGUGAGUAACACGUGAGUAACCUGCCCUCGACUGCGGGAGAACUUCAUUAAACUGGGGCGAAUACCGGCUAGGAAUCCGUGCUGCAUGGUGGGGGGUGGAAAGCUUCGGCGGGUGUGGAUGGACUGGCGGGCUAUUAGCUUGUUGGUGGGGUAGUGGCUUACCAAGGCUUUGACGGGUAGCCGGCCGGGGGGGGCGAACGGCCACAUUGGGAAUGGGAUUAGGGCCAGAACCCCACGGGAGGGAGGAGGGGGGAAUAAUGGCCCAUGGGCGGGAGCCCGAUGGAGCAACCCCGCGGGCGGGAUGACGGGCUUUGGGUUGGAAACCGGCUUCAGCAGGGGAGAAGCUUGUGGUGACGGUACCUGCAGAAGAAGCACCGGCUAACUACGUG
rnacentral:rRNA from 1 species